rnacentral:rRNA from 1 species
UACGGGGGGGGCAAGCGUUGUUCGGAAUUACUGGGCGUAAAGGGCUCGUAGGUGGCCAACUAAGUCAGACGUGAAAGCCCCGGGCUCAACCUGGGAACUGCAUUUGAAACUGGCGGGCUUGAGUGUGGCAGAGGGGGGUGGAAUUCCGCGUGUAGCAGUGAAAUGCGUAGAGAUGCGGAGGAACACCGAUGGCGAAGGCAGCCCCCUGGGCCAACACUGACGCUCAGGCACGAAAGCGUGGGGAGCAAACAGG